rnacentral:rRNA from 1 species
CAGUAGCCACGGUAAUACGAAGGGUGCAAGCGUUAAUCGGAAUUACUGGGCGUAAAGCGUGCGUAGGCGGUUUGUUAAGUCUGUUGUGAAAUCCCCGGGCUCAACCUGGGAAUGGCAAUGGAUACUGGCAAGCUAGAGUGUGUCGGAGGAUGGUGGAAUUCCCGGUGUAGCGGUGAAAUGCGUAGAGAUCGGGAGGAACAUCAGUGGCGAAGGCGGCCAUCUGGGACAACACUGACGCUGAGGCACGAAAGCGUGGGGAGCAAACAGGAUUAGAUACCCCUGUAGUCCCUGUCUCUUAUAC